AUUUAAGUUAACCCCCAAACUAAUAGCCUUCAAAGCUGUAAAUAAAGAAAAUACAUGCUUUAAG
rnacentral:tRNA from 1 species